AUACUUACCUGACAAGGGAGAUACCAUGAUCCUGAAGUUGGUUUUCUUAGGGCAAGUCUCAUCCAUUGCACUCUGGUUGUGCUGACCCUUGAGAUUUCCUUAAACUUGGGAAACUUGACUGAAUAAUUUGUGGUAGUGGGACUGCGUUUGAAGUCUCCCCA
ensembl:snRNA U1 U1 spliceosomal RNA